rnacentral:rRNA from 1 species
GAUGAACGCUGGCGGCGUGCCUAAUACAUGCAAGUCGAGCGAACAGACGAGGAGCUUGCUCCUUUGACGUUAGCGGCGGACGGGUGAGUAACACGUAGGUAACCUACCUAUAAGACUGGGAUAACUUCGGGAAACCGGAGCUAAUACCGGAUAAUAUUUCGAACCGCAUGGUUCGAUAGUGAAAGAUGGCUUUGCUAUCACUUAUAGAUGGACCUGCGCCGUAUUAGCUAGUUGGUAAGGUAACGGCUUACCAAGGCAACGAUACGUAGCCGACCUGAGAGGGUGAGCGCCACCACUGGAACGGCGCCCGGUCCGAGACUCCGCGGGGGGGCAGAAGGAGGUAUUUUUCCGAAAGGGGCGAAAGCCUGAGGGAGCACCGCGGGGGGAGUGAGGAAGUUUUCGGGAUCUUAAAACUCUUUUAUGGGGAAAAAACAAAGUUGAAAGUACCUGGGCCCGUCUUGACGUUCCCUAAUAAGAAACCCACGCCUAACCCCGGG